CCUACGGGUGGCUGCAGUGGGGAAUAUUGGACAAUGGGGGGAACCCUGAUCCAGCCAUGCCGCGUGUGUGAAGAAGGCCCUCGGAUUGUAAAGCACUUUCAGUGAGGAAGAACGCCUGGUGGUUAAUACCCAUCAGGAAAGACAUCACUCACAGAAGAAGCACCGGCUAACUCCGUGCCAGCAGCCGCGGUAAUACGGAGGGUGCGAGCGUUAAUCGGAAUUACUGGGCGUAAAGCGCGCGUAGGUGGCUUGAUAAGCCGGUUGUGAAAGCCCCGGGCUCAACCUGGGAACGGCAUCCGGAACUGUCAAGCUAGAGUGCAGGAGAGGAAGGUAGAAUUCCCGGUGUAGCGGUGAAAUGCGUAGAGAUCGGGAGGAAUACCAGUGGCGAAGGCGGCCUUCUGGACUAACACUGACACUGAGGUGCGAAAGCGUGGGUAGCAAACAGGAUUAGAUACCCUUGUAGUC
rnacentral:rRNA from 1 species